CAGCAGCCACGGGAAUACGUAGGGUGCGAGCGUUAAUCGGAAUUACUGGGCGUAAAGCGUGCGCAGGCGGUUCGUUAAGACAGAUGUGAAAUCCCCGGGCUUAACCUGGGAACUGCAUUUGUGACUGGCGAGCUAGAGUAUGGCAGAGGGGGGUAGAAUUCCACGUGUAGCAGUGAAAUGCGUAGAGAUGUGGAGGAAUACCGAUGGCGAAGGCAGCCCCCUGGGCCAAUACUGACGCUCAUGCACGAAAGCGUGGGGAGCAAACAGGAUUAGAUACCCCUGUAGUCCCUGUCUCUUAUAC
rnacentral:rRNA from 1 species